UCUUUGUAAAAGAAUUCUAAGGCCCCAGCUUUGUGUAACGCAGAAUAGAACAUCAUGUUCCGAUUAAUAUUUGCCUUCGCUAUUAUCACCUUCGCCGCAGCAGCUCCGCAACUUUUAACGAUUGCUCUCCAGGGCAGACCGUUGUUGGAUCUCGAUUUGGCAAACUUAGGCCGUUGAAUGAUGGAAACUUGAUCGAAGCAUCUGCGUCGUCCCGUAUUCGUAACGCGAAUAUGAAAAGAUUUAACGAGAAUUUUGGUGAGGGGGAGAUAAUAAAAUGAUUCGAAGUAUCGCGUAAAUGUUUUUUUUGUUUUCAAAUCAAAGGAUCUUGUAUUAUAACAAUAAGAAAUGUAAAUUCUAUUAAUAAACUGCAGUGUGCUACGGAA